CCUACGGGUGGCAGCAGUGGGGAAUAUUGGACAAUGGGCGAAAGCCUGAUCCAGCCAUGCCGCGUGUGUGAAGAAGGCCUUCGGGUUGUAAAGCACUUUCAGUGGGGAAGAAAGCCUUGGGGCUAAUACCCUCGAGGAAGGACAUCACCCACAGAAGAAGCACCGGCUAACUCCGUGCCAGCAGCCGCGGUAAUACGGAGGGUGCGAGCGUUAAUCGGAAUUACUGGGCGUAAAGCGCGCGUAGGCGGUCUGAUAAGCCGGUUGUGAAAGCCCCGGGCUCAACCUGGGAACGGCAUCCGGAACUGUCAGGCUAGAGUGCAGGAGAGGAAGGUAGAAUUCCCGGUGUAGCGGUGAGAUGCGUAGAGAUCGGGAGGAAUACCAGUGGCGAAGGCGGCCUUCUGGACUGACACUGACGCUGAGGUGCGAAAGCGUGGGUAGCAAACAGGAUUAGCUACCCCGGUAGUC
rnacentral:rRNA from 1 species